rnacentral:tRNA from 1 species
AAUUUAAAUAGUUUAAGAAAAAUAUUGAUUUGUGGAAUCAAAGUUAUAAUUUAUAUUUUAAAUUA